rfam:Ciona savignyi cont_49739, whole genome shotgun sequence.
GGCGCCAUGGCUUAGUGGUAAAGACCCUGUCUUAUAAACAGGAGAUCCUGGGUUCGAUCUCCAGUGGAGCCU